GCCAAAAGCCUAGCCCCCCACCACUAAUGAACCGUAAAACCUCAUUUUUAUAAAUUAAAACAUUUUAUAAAUUUAGUAAAGGCGAUUAAAAAAUUAUACAGGAGCAAUAAAAAUAGUACCGCAAGGGAAAGGUGAAAUAAAAUUGAAAUAAAUUUUAAGCGCAAAAUAGUAGAGACCAUCUCUCGUACCUUUUGCAUCAUGGUUUAACAAGUCCAACCAAGCAAAAUGACUUACAGUUUGACCUCCCGAAACUAAGUGAGCUACUUCAGGACAGCUUAUUGAGCAAACCCGUCUCUGUUGCAAAAGAGUGGGAAGAUCCUCAAGUAGGGGUGACAGACCUAACGAACUUAGUGAUAGCUGGUUACUCAAGAAAAGGAUUUUAGUCCAGCCUAAAGUCUCUCUAAUACAAUAAAAUGCCUCUUAGACUUUAGAGUAAUUCAAAUAAGGUACAGCCUAUUUGAAAAAGGAUACAACCUAAACUAACGGGUAAUAUAUUAAUUUUAUAACCAAGUGGGCCUAAAAGCAGCCACCUUUGAGACAGCGUCAAAGCUCCAUUAUAAUUUUUAUCUAAUAUCUAAAAAUAAUAAAAACCCUCUACCUCUACUGAGUAAUUCUAUACCCCUAUAGAACUUAUAAUGUUAAAACUAGUAACAAGAAGAAGACCUUCUCUUAAAUGUACAUGUAAAUCAGUAAGGACAAGCCACUGAUAAUUAACACCCAUGAAAUUGUAUUAGCAACUCCACAAGAAAACCCUAAUAAAUUUUGUGUUAACCUAACACAAGAACAUUACAAGAAAGAUUAAAAAAGAAAGAAGGAACUCGGCAAAUAUUAACCUCGCCUGUUUACCAAAAACAUCGCCUCUUGAAUCAUCAUAAGAGGUCUAGCCUGCCCAGUGACUCUGUUCAACGGCCGCGGUAUCCUAACCGUGCGAAGGUAGCGUAAUCACUUGUUCUUUAAAUGAGGACUUGUAUGAAUGGCAUCACGAGGGUUAUACUGUCUCCUUUCUUUAAUCAGUGAAACUAAUCUCUCCGUGAAGAAGCGGGGAUAAGAAUAUAAGACGAGAAGACCCUAUGGAGCUUUAAAUUCAAUAACAAAUACUACCAAUAAUAUAACCUCCAGAUUACAAACCCUUAUUUUAGUAUUAUGAUUAUUAAUUUUAGGUUGGGGUGACCGCGGAGAAAAAACUAUCCUCCACAUUGAAAGGGGCCCGCCCCUGAGCAAAAAACUACAACUUUAAGCACCAAUAAACUGACAUCAAUUGACCCAAUAUUUUGAUCAACGAACCAAGUUACCCUAGGGAUAACAGCGCAAUCCGCUUCAAGAGCUCCUAUCGACAAGUGGGUUUACGACCUCGAUGUUGGAUCAGGGUAUCCCAGUGGUGCAGCCGCUACUAAAGGUUCGUUUGUUC
rnacentral:rRNA from 1 species